AAAGGGACAGGGAUUUGUGUUUCUUAAGUUCUCACCGACUCAUCCAGCGCUGCAAGUUAGCCAUCACGGUGCCUGUUAUGAACUUUAUUGCAAGGCGGUGUUUGAGGCAAGCUAUGAAGAAAGAAACUUCUGUGGAAAGGCAGUGAAAUUUGGUAAAUAGCAGACGUAAGGUUGAGAAAAUUCACCUUUGGACAUUUUUUUUUUUUUUCUGGUUGAGUCAUCCUGUGAUCAUUCACGAUAUGAACAGAAGAAAUGCAAGCUUUACUGCUGGAGAUAAGUGGAAGGUUUCUGUUUGUCUGUCCUGUUACCCACUGUGUUUGUUAAAGAUACUGUGUUCUUUGCAGAGGAAGAAUGUGUUGCCCUGUUUUUUCUUUGGUUGUGAACCAGAUAAGGUGGGAGAACCAAACAAUUAUUUUCUGUGGUGAAGCAUCAUUUGUUUCUGCAUUAAAGGUGAUAGCUUGAUAGAAGGAUUCUGUGCAAGGGAAUUCAGGGAUGGCUCUUCAGAGACUGUUUCCUAUUUUGCCUUGGCUUAGGGGUCCACUGUAUCUCCAGCGUAAUGGUUGUAUCUGCAGUGAGUAUCACCAGUUAACUGAGAGGGAAAAUGUGCCAUUUGGUUUGUGAUCUGUAUGUAUAGGCUGCCCCUGCUCACUCAGGUGGCAUAAUUAGAGACUGAGCAUGGAAAUCUUGUACAACUGCUGUAGCAGCUGUGUUGGGAUGCUUAUGUGUGCUGGGCACUUGUUCAUGUGACUAAUUCUGACUGCUAGGGAUAUGACUUCAGAUGACUGUUAUUUAAAAAGAACAAAAAACACGCAUCCCCAGGCAACCAAAAAUAAAUUUGUACGUAGAUGAGAAAGGAAAACCACACAGGAUCAAAGUAUUUCCAUGAAGUUGGGCACUGGUUCAGUGAGCAGGGUGCAAACGGGCUGCCACCUCUCAUGGCACUGCAAGUUGGCCCAUCCUGGAGAAGCCCUGGAAGGAAAACAGUGCCUUCACCUCCAGCACACGGCUCCAGACAGAACCCCUCACCUCAGUCCUCCAGUGACAACUCCAUGUGUAACCUCACCCAAACUGGAACCUUUCAUUGAUGGAAGACGCAGACUGUGUUCUUGGAUGCUGGCAUUAAACACACUUCAAAUAUAUUUAAUUUUGGAUGUCU
ensembl:lncRNA